CUUGCUGGGAAUAAUGAGAAGUAUAGAGGCAGGUGUUUAGGUGGCUGAGGUUGCCAGGGCUACGCGGCUUGUCUUCCAUGACCGAUCAGCACAGUGAGAAAAAGCAGGGACAUGAUGUCCUGGCUUACUGCACAAGAAUCAUUCUAGAAGGGCAAAGCAACGAACAGGAGAACAUUUCUUUCUUUCAUGAAACCAUUCGGUGCCAGACACUCUGGAAGAUCAGCAUGCCUGUUGCUAGCUAUUGGUGUCCAAAACACUUCAGUCAGUGCAGUGAGAAGGUUGAGUGACAACCCCUUCCUAGUAUACCACUUUUGAACAGGACAGUGUGGAACAGCUCGGUAUGGUGAUCAGUUUGAUUCCUUGUCCUACUUGUACUCUGUAAUUGAGUAAUGGCUCACUGCGAUGAAGGACUCCAAAUCUGACUGCCAGAACAUGGCCAUAACUCAUCCUUGAUGAGACUGCUCUCUCACAGCAGCUUACAGAUACGACAAAUUUAAUUGCACUGAAAGAGGAAAGCCGAGCACACUCAGAAUGUUCCAGCAAAGCCUUUUCCAAAAAGAGCUCUGACUACUUUACUGCACAAAGAAGGAAGGGAAAAAAAGGAAAGUGAACUGAAUUCCUCUACUGCCUCUUUUUGAUGUGCAGCCAUGUACAGAAAUCUGCAUUUAUAAACUGUUAUCUGUCCAAUACAUUGAAUUUGAG
ensembl:lncRNA